rnacentral:rRNA from 1 species
GACGUAGGAGGCGAGCGUUUGUCCGGAUUCAUUGGGCGUAAAGAGCGCGCAGGCGGCUUGGUAAGUCGGAUGUGAAAUCCCGAGGCUCAACCUCGGGUCUGCAUCCGAUACUGCCCGGCUAGAGGUAGGUAGGGGAGAUCGGAAUUCCUGGUGUAGCGGUGAAAUGCGCAGAUAUCAGGAGGAACACCGGUGGCGAAGGCGGAUCUCUGGGCCUUACCUGACGCUCAUGCACGAAAGCGUGGGGAGCAAACAGG